AUGGAGAACCAACAAGUUGGAAAUCACGGUCUUCAUUGGACAUCCUCAAUGUCCACCUAUAUGCUUACUCACUUUACCAACGUCGUGGCUAAUGGCACUAAGACAUCAACAUGCUUUAAGACGGUGCAUCACAAUGCAUGUGCUAGAGAUUUAAAUGAUCAUUUCAGGCUUUGUUUGACUGGAGGGCAGAUUGCCAACCAUCUGCGCUAUUGGAAGAAGAAGUGGGCAAAGAUAAUUAGACUUAAAAAUUUCCUAAGUGGUGCACUUUGGGAUGAAGUUAACUUUAUUAUUGGACUUGAUCAUGAGCACUAUACUGAGCAUAUUAAGGGAGAUGUUGAGUUCCUAAACAAACCCAUAGAGCACUACACUGAGAUGGCCGCGAUAUUUGGUAACAGUUUGGCUACCGGACAGUACGCUAAAGGAUCAAAUGAACUUCUAGCGAAAGGUGCUCUAGAAAUUGAUGAUGAUAUUGUUGAUGAGGAUGCUCCAGCUACACCAACUACUCCAGCUACUCCAUCUUCAACUGUCCGUGACCCCUCGGUCCCCAAAGCAGCAAAGAAAGCAAAAACUUAUGCACAACAAAGCAAUGAUAAGCUGAUGGCAACAUUCACGGCUAUUGGUGAUACGAUUGCUAAUGCUAUAGUUGCAGCUGGUAAGUCCGAUGAUGAGUUGCCUGCUGGACUUUGGAACAACAUCAAAGACAUUCCUGGUUUCCAACCGGCACAUCUUUCUCACUACUAUGCGCAUUUGGUUGAGAAUGUUCGAAUUGCACGUGCUUUCCACUCACUGACUUUGACAACAAGCUGA
rnacentral:rRNA from 1 species